rnacentral:rRNA from 1 species
UGAGAGUUUGAUCCUGGCUCAGGACGAACGCUGGCGGCGUGCCUAACACAUGCAAGUCGAGCGGUCCGGCACUCAACUAAGUGCUUACUUAAGGGGAAGGAAGUAUAGUAGAAGAAGAAAGUAAUAAAAGUGGUGCAAAGUAAGGUAAGCACGGAGUUGAGUGCCGGAUAGCGGCGGACGGGUGAGUAACGCGUGGGCAACCUACCCUUAAGACCGGGAUAACACCUCGAAAGGGGUGCUAAUACUGGAUAAGCUCCUUGUAGGGCAUCCUAUGAGGAGGGAAGGUAGCGGGAGCUACCGCUUAAGGAUGGGCCCGCGUCCCAUCAGCUAGUUGGUAGGGUAACGGCCUACCAAGGCGACGACGGGUAGCCGGCCUGAGAGGGUGGUCGGCCACACUGGGACUGAGACACGGCCCAGACUCCUACGGGAGGCAGCAGUGGGGAAUCUU